rnacentral:rRNA from 1 species
AGAGUUUGAUCCUGGCUCAGAAUCAACGCUGGCGGCGUGCCUAACACAUGCAAGUCGAACGCGAGGGUCCCGCAAGGGACUAGUAGAGUGGCAAACGGGUGAGUAACACGUGGGUGACCUGCCUUCGAGUGGGGGAUAACGUCCCGAAAGGGACGCUAAUACCGCAUGACAUCCUGCCGUUGAAACCGGUGGAGAUCAAAGCUGGGGAUCGCAAGACCUAGCGCUUGAAGAGGGGCCCGCGUCCGAUUAGCUAGUUGGUGAGGUAACGGCUCACCAAGGCAACGAUCGGUAGCCGGCCUGAGAGGGCGGACGGCCACACUGGGACUGAGACACGGCCCAGACUCCUACGGGAGGCAGCAGUGGGGAAUUGUUCACAAUGGGCGCAAGCCUGAUGACGCAACGCCGCGUGGAGGAUGAAGAUCUUCGGGUCGUAAACUCCUUUCGAUCGAGACGAACGGCUUCCGGGCUAAUCACCGGGAGAGUGACGGUACCGAGAGAAGAAGCCCCGGCUAACUCCGUGCCAGCAGCCGCGGUAAUACGGGGGGGGCAAGCGUUGUUCGGAAUUACUGGGCGUAAAGGGCUCGUAGGCGGCCAACUAAGUCAGACGUGAAAUCCCUCGGCUUAACCGGGGAACUGCGUCUGAUACUGGAUGGCUUGAGGUUGGGAGAGGGAUGCGGAAUUCCAGGUGUAGCGGUGAAAUGCGUAGAUAUCUGGAGGAACACCGGUGGCGAAGGCGGCAUCCUGGACCAAUUCUGACGCUGAGGAGCGAAAGCCAGGGGAGCAAACGGGAUUAGAUACCCCGGUAGUCCUGGCCCUAAACGAUGAAUGCUUGGUGUGGCGGGUAUCGAUCCCUGCCGUGCCGAAGCUAACGCAUUAAGCAUUCCGCCUGGGGAGUACGGUCGCAAGGCUGAAACUCA